AUUGAACGCUGGCGGCAUGCCUUACACAUGCAAGUCGAACGGCAGCACGGGAGCAAUCCUGGUGGCGAGUGGCGAACGGGUGAGUAAUAUAUCGGAACGUGCCCGGUCGUGGGGGAUAACGUAGCGAAAGCUACGCUAAUACCGCAUACGAUCUACGGAUGAAAGCGGGGGAUCGCAAGACCUCGCGCGAUUGGAGCGGCCGAUAUCAGAUUAGGUAGUUGGUGAGGUAAAGGCUCACCAAGCCGACGAUCUGUAGCUGGUCUGAGAGGACGACCAGCCACACUGGGACUGAGACACGGCCCAGACUCCUACGGGAGGCAGCAGUGGGGAAUUUUGGACAAUGGGCGCAAGCCUGAUCCAGCAAUGCGCGUGCAGGAUGAAGGCCUCGGUU
rnacentral:rRNA from 1 species